AAUCUAUCGCUAUGUCUUAAUACAGACACAUUCUUCGGAGAUUAACAGAAAGUGGAGAUAAGGCCCCAGAGUUAGAUCGACCUGUCAUGGCGCUGGUUUAAUGACGACUGCACGCGCUCAGGGAAAUAGUGCGGCCCUUUUAUCAUGAUUUAUGACUAGAGAUGGGGCUUACAUUGUGCACGGUUAUCGCUGAGGAGGAACAGGAAACUGAAAAUCAACAACAGCGACGUCAUGUCUCUGGUGUGUGGAAUUGAGAUGAGUGUCUGUAGGAGAUACAUGAAUUGAUUAAUAUAUGCUUUAAUGUGCAAUAAAAAUCAAAGUGUACACAUUUUUCAACAACGAAA